UACGAAGGGGGCGAGCGUUGUUCGGAUUUACUGGGCGUAAAGGGCGCGUAGGCGGCCCGUUUUGUCAGGCGUGAAAGCCCUGGGCUCAGCCUGGGAAUUGCGCUUGGGACGGAUGGGCUUGAGAUCGGGAGAGGAGAGUGGAAUUCCCAGUGUAGAGGUGAAAUUCGUAGAUAUUGGGAAGAACACCGGUGGCGAAGGCGGGUCUCUGGGCAGUAACUGACGCUGAGGAGCGAAAGCGUGGGGAGCGAACAGG
rnacentral:rRNA from 1 species